rnacentral:lncRNA from 1 species
CCUGGUUUGCAUAGUCUGCACGUUUAAUCACUUUAAAACCUCUAACAUUAUCUCAUGUCCAUUAAAUAGAACCAGCAAUGCUGGGCCUGUUUAAAUUACAAGAAAAAAAUCACUGUGCACCAACCCAGCAUCUUACAAAACCAGCCGGGCUGGCCACGAGGGCAGGGGGAUGGGAGAGGAGGGGAGGGGAGGGUGGUCAGGACACCAGCACAGGGUUCAGCCAGAGCUUCGGCCUUGGCUGCGCCAGCCUGGUGGCCAGUGGUGGU